AUCAUACUCCCUCCGUCUAGAAAUACAUGUCGGAGAAAUGAAUAAAAAUGGAUAUAUCUAGAACUAAAAUACGUCUAGAUACAUCCAUUUCUUCGACAAGUAUUUUCAGACAGAGGGAGUAUAUA
rfam:Triticum aestivum genome assembly, contig: Triticum_aestivum_CS42_TGACv1_scaffold_114616_2AS